CACGUAGGGGGCAAGCGUUGUCCGGAUUUAUUGGGCGUAAAGAGCUCGUAGGCGGUUCGGUAAGUCGGGUGUGAAACCUCCAGGCUCAACCUGGAGACGCCACCUGAUACUGCUGUGACUCGAGUCCGGUAGGGGAGCGUGGAAUUCCUGGUGUAGCGGUGAAAUGCGCAGAUAUCAGGAGGAACACCAGCGGCGAAGGCGGCGCUCUGGGCCGGAACUGACGCUGAGGAGCGAAAGCUAGGGGAGCAAACGGG
rnacentral:rRNA from 1 species